UACGUAGGGUGCAAGCGUUGUCCGGAAUUAUUGGGCGUAAAGAGCUCGUAGGCGGUUUGUCGCGUCGAAUGUGAAAACCCGGGGCUCAACUCCGGGCCUGCAUUCGAUACGGGCAGACUAGAGUUCGGUAGGGGAGUCUGGAAUUCCUGGUGUAGCGGUGAAAUGCGCAGAUAUCAGGAGGAACACCGGUGGCGAAGGCGGGACUCUGGGCCGAUACUGACGCUGGAGGAGCGAAAGCGUGGGGAGCAAACAGG
rnacentral:rRNA from 1 species